rnacentral:misc_RNA from 1 species
AUGAAGAACGUAGCAAAAUGCGAUAAGUAAUGUGAAUUGCAGAAUUCAGUGAAUCAUCGAAUCUUUGAACGCACAUUGCGCCCGCCAGUAUUCUGGCGGGCAUGCCUGUUCGAGCGUCAUUUCAACCCUCAAGCACAGCUUGGUGUUGGGACUCGCGUUAAUUCGCGUUCCCCAAAUUGAUUGGCGGUCACGUCGAGCUUCCAUAGCGUAGUAGUAAAACCCUCGUUACUGGUAAUCGUCGCGGCCACGCCGUUAAACCCCAACUUCUGAAUGUUGACCUCGGAUCAGGUAGGAAUACCCGCUGAACUUAAGCAUAUCAAUAAGCGGAGGA